rnacentral:rRNA from 1 species
GACGAACGCUGGCGGCGUGCCUAAUACAUGCAAGUCGAGCGAAUCACUGGGAGCUUGCUCCCGGUGGUUAGCGGCGGACGGGUGAGUAACACGUGGGCAACCUGCCUGUAAGACUGGGAUAACGCCGGGAAACCGGUGCUAAUACCGGAUAAUUCUUUUCUGCACAUGCAGGAAAGCUGAAAGUCGGUUUCGGCUGACACUUACAGAUGGGCCCGCGGCGCAUUAGCUAGUUGGUGAGGUAACGGCUCACCAAGGCGACGAUGCGUAGCCGACCUGAGAGGGUGAUCGGCCACACUGGGACGGAGACACGGCCCAGACUCCUACGGGAGGCAGCAGUAGGGAAUCUUCCACAAUGGACGAAAGUCUGAUGGAGCAACGCCGCGUGAGCGAUGAAGGCCUUCGGGUCGUAAAGCUCUGUUGUUAGGGAAGAACAAGUACCGGAGUAACUGCCGGUACCUUGACGGUACCUAACCAGAAAGCCACGGCUAACUACGUGCCAGCAGCCGCCGUAA